rnacentral:rRNA from 1 species
GCAGUUAAAAAGCUCGUAGUCGGAUUUCAGUAUUAGGCCCUUCUUCCAAUACGGUUGCUAGUGGUCUUUACUUCCUUAACAGAAUCUUUCAUCUCAUUAAUUUGGGGUGUUUGGGGCCUGUUUCUUUUACUUUGAGAAAAUUAGAGUGUUCAAAGCGGGUUUUCGCCUGGAUAUUACUCUUGGAAUAAUAAUAUAGGACUUUGGUUCUUUUUUGUUGGUGACUUAGAACCGAAGUAAUGAUUGAUAGGGACAGUUGGGGUCAUUCGUACUAUGAAGCGAGAGGUGAAAUUCAUGGACCUUUGUAUGACGAACUACUGCGAAAGCAUUUGACUAGGAUGUUCCCGUUGAUCAAGAACGAAAGUUGGGGGAUCGAAGACGAUCAGAUACCGUCGUAGUCUCAACCAUAAACUAUGCCAGCUAGGGAUUGGAGGAAGAUCAUUUUACGUCUCCUUCAGCACCUUAUGAGAAAUCAAAGCAUUUGGGUUCCGGGGGGAGUAUGGUCGCAAGGCUGAAACUUAAAGGAAUUGACGGGAGGGCACCACCAGGAGUGGAGCCUGCGGCUUAAUUUGAU